rnacentral:rRNA from 1 species
UACGGGGGGAGCAAGCGUUGUUCGGAUUUACUGGGCGUAAAGGGCGCGUAGGUGGUUCUGUAUGUCUACCGUGAAAGCGUACGGCUCAACUGUAUUUUGUCGGUAGAAACUGCAGGACUUGAGGCUGGGAGGGGCUGGUGGAAUUCCCUGUGUAGCGGUGAAAUGCGUAGAGAUGGGGGAGAACACUCGUGGCGAAGGCGGCCAGCUAGACCAGUUCUGACACUGAGGCGCGACAGCGUGGGGAGCAAACAGG